rnacentral:tRNA from 1 species
GUGGCUGUUAUUAAUUGUCAGUGAUUGUUAAUCAUCCCUUUGAUUUAUAACAUAACUCAUUGUUUUUUCUGUACCUAUUGGAAGAAUGUAGGAAUUUCGGACGCGGGUUCAACUCCCGCCAGCUCCACCA